AGAGUUUGAUCAUGGCUCAGGAUGAACGCUAGCGGCAGGCUUAAUACAUGCAAGUCGAGGGGCAGCAUGAGUGUAGCAAUACAUUUGAUGGCGACCGGCAAACGGGUGCGGAACACGUACACAACCUUCCUUCGAGCGGGGAAUAGCCCAGAGAAAUUUGGAUUAAUACCCCAUAGUAUAUUGAAAAGGCAUCUUUUUAAUAUUAAAGAUUUAUCACUUGAAGAUGGGUGUGCGGCUGAUUAGGUAGUUGGCGGGGUAACGGCCCACCAAGCCUGCGAUCAGUAACUGGUGUGAGAGCACGACCAGUCACACGGGCACUGAGACACGGGCCCGACUCCUACGGGAGGCAGCAGUAAGGAAUAUUGGUCAAUGGACGAAAGUCUGAACCAGCCAUGCCGCGUGGAGGAUGAAGGCCCUCUGGGUUGUAAACUUCUUUUAUCUGGGAAGAAAAAAGGGAAUUCUUUCCCGUCUGACGGUACCAGAUGAAUAAGCACCGGCUAACUCCGUGCCAGCAGCCGCGGUAAUACGGAGGGUGCAAGCGUUAUCCGGAUUUACUGGGUUUAAAGGGUGCGUAGGUGGGUUGGUAAGUCCGUGGUGAAAUCUCCAAGCUUAACUUGGAAACUGCCAUGGAUACUAUCAGUCUUGAAUACCGUGGAGGUCAGCGGAAUAUGUCAUGUAGCGGUGAAAUGCUUAGAUAUGACAUAGAACACCAAUUGCGAAGGC
rnacentral:rRNA from 1 species